GAUGAACGCUGGCGGCGUGCCUAAUACAUGCAAGUCGAGCGAACGGACGAGAAGCUUGCUUCUCUGAUGUUAGCGGCGGACGGGUGAGUAACACGUGGAUAACCUACCUAUAAGACUGGGAUAACUUCGGGAAACCGGAGCUAAUACCGGAUGAUAUUUUGAACCGCAUGGUUCAAAAGUGAAAGACGGUCUUGCUGUCACUUAUAGAUGGAUCCGCGCUGCAUUAGCUAGUUGGUAAGGUAACGGCUUACCAAGGCAACGAUGCAUAGCCGACCUGAGAGGGUGAUCGGCCACACUGGAACUGAGACACGGUCCAGACUCCUACGGGAGGCAGCAGUAGGGAAUCUUCCGCAAUGGGCGAAAGCCUGACGGACCAACGCCGCGUGAGUGAUGAAGGUCUUCGGAUCGUAAAACUCUGUUAUUAGGGAAGAACAUAUGUGUAAGUAACUGUGCACAUCUUGACGGUACCUAAUCAGAAAGCCACGGCUAACUACGUG
rnacentral:rRNA from 1 species